rnacentral:rRNA from 1 species
GACGUAGGGUCCAAGCGUUGUCCGGAUUUACUGGGCGUAAAGAGCGCGUAGGCGGUCUGUUAAGUGAGAAGUGAAAUCUCCAGGGCUCAACCCGGAAACUGCUUUUCAUACUGGCAGACUUGAGGGAUGCAGAGGUGAAUGGAAUUCCUGGUGUAGCGGUGAAAUGCGUUGAUAUCAGGAGGAACACCCAUGGCGAAGGCAGUUCACUGGGCAUCAUCUGACGCUGAGGCGCGAAAGCGUGGGGAGCGAACAGG